GACGAACCGUGCGAACGUUGUUCGGAAUCACUGGGCUUAAAGGGCGCGUAGGCGGUCUGCCAAGUCGGGGUUGAAAUCUUUCGGCUCAACCGGAAAAGUGGCUUCGAUACUGGCAGGCUGGAGGGAGGUAGGGGCAGAUGGAACUUCCGGUGGAGCGGUGAAAUGUGUUGAUAUCGGAAGGAACGCCGGUGGCGAAGGCGCUCAUCUGGCCCAAUACUGACGCUGAGGCGCGAAAGCUAGGGGAGCAAACGGG
rnacentral:rRNA from 1 species